rnacentral:rRNA from 1 species
CGAACGGGUGAGUAACGCGUGAGGAACCUGCCUCAAAGAGGGGGACAACAGUUGGAAACGACUGCUAAUACCGCAUAAGCCCACGGGUCGGCAUCGACCUGAGGGAAAAGGAGCAAUCCGCUUUGAGAUGGCCUCGCGUCCGAUUAGCUAGUUGGUGAGGUAACGGCCCACCAAGGCGACGAUCGGUAGCCGGACUGAGAGGUUGAUCGGCCACAUCGGGACUGAGACACGGCCCAG